rfam:Lactobacillus farraginis DSM 18382 = JCM 14108 DNA, contig: JCM14108.contig00095.
CAAACUGGCCAGCAAUGACCAGCCGAGCGGUUCAGAAGUCAGCCGAGGUCAUAGUAGUUGCCUCAGGCAACGAAGGAC